GUGCUUGCUUCAGCAGCACAUAUCCUAAAAUUGGAGGGAUACAGAGAAGAUUAGCAUAGUGCCUGCACAAGGAUGGCAUGUAAAUUCGUAAGCAUUUUAUAUAUAUAU